rnacentral:lncRNA from 1 species
CUAAGGAGGUAGAUAAGAUGGUCUGGUAUUCUCAUCUCUUUAAGAAUUUCCCAGCUUGUUGUGAUCAAUACAGUCAAAGGCCUUGGCAUAGUCAAUGAAGUAUAAGUGGUUGUUCUGUAACUCUCUUGCUUUUUCUAUUAUCCAAUGGAUGUUGGCAAUUGGAUCUCUGGUUCCUCUGCCUUUUGUAAAUCCAGCUGAAACAUCUGGAAUUUCUCAGUUCAUGUACUGUUGAAGUCUAGCUUGGAGAAUUUUCAGCAUUACUUUGCUAGUGUGUAAGAUGUCUUUAUUUUACUGUGUCCAAAAGUCCGUUAUACACAUCUGUGUCUUUUUUCCUGUCUUGCAUACAGGGUCGUCAUUGCCAUCUUCCUAAAUUCCAUAUAUAUGUGUUAGUAUACUGUAUUGGUGUUUUUCUUUCUGGCUUACUUCACUCUGUAUAAUCGGCUCCAGUUUCAUCCAUCUCAUCAGGACUGAUUCAAAUGAAUUCUUUUUAACUGCUGAGUAAUACUCCAUUGUGUAUAUGUACCACAGCUUUCUUAUCCAUUCAUCUGCUGAUGGACAUCUAGGUUGUUUCCAUGUCCUGGCUAUUAUAAACAGUGCUGCGAUGAACAUUGGGGUACAUGUGUCUCUUUCAGUUCUGGUUUCCUCGGUGUGUAUGCCCAGCAGUGGGAUUGCUGGGUCAUAAGGUAGUUCUAUUUGCAAUUUUUUAAGGAAUCUCCACACUGUUCUCCAUAGUGGCUGUACUAGUUUGCAUUCCCACCAACAGUGUAGGAGGGGUCCCUUUUCUCCACAGCCUCUCCAGCAUUUAUUGCUUGCAGAUUUUUGGAUCGCAGCCAUUCUGACUGGUGUGAAGUGGUACCUCAUUGUGGUUUUGAUUUGCAUUUCUCUAAUAAUGAGUGAUGUUGAGCAUCUUUUCAUGUGUUUGUUAGCCAUCCGUAUGUCUUCUUUGGAGAAAUGUCUAUUUAGUUCUUUGGCCCAUUUUUUGAUUGGGUUGUUUAUUUUUCUGGAAUUGAGCUGCAUAAGUUGCUUGUAUAUUUUUGAGAUUAGUUGUUUGUCAUUUGCUAUUAUUUUCUCCCAUUCAGAAGGCUGUCUUUUCACCUUGCUUAUAUUUUCCUUUGUUGUGCAGAAGCUUUUAAUUUUAAUUAGAUCCCAUUUGUU